rnacentral:lncRNA from 1 species
CCCCUCUCUCUCUAUUUCUCUCUCUUUCUCUCUUUUUCUUCUCCAGUUCAGCUUUGUUUUCCUUCAUCGGUUCACCUCGGUUCAGAAUGAAACAAAGUCAUGCCGAACCGUACCACCGAUCGAUCGAUCCGACCACUGAUAUCGGCUCCAUAGAUCUUGCUAGAGAGUAUCAAAUUUUAAUAAAAUAACAUCAAUUAUUAUAAUAUUUAGUGCCUUUAGCAGCUUAAAUCAAAUAUUCAU